UACGGAGGGGGCUAGCGUUGUUCGGAAUUACUGGGCGUAAAGCGCACGUAGGCGGCUUUGUAGGUUAGAGGUGAAAGCCCAGGGCUUAACCCUGGAAUUGCCUUUAAGACUGCAUCGCUAGAAUCGUGGAGAGGUGAGUGGAAUUCCGAGUGUAGAGGUGAAAUUCGUAGAUAUUCGGAAGAACACCAGUGGCGAAGGCGGCUAUCUGGACGGUGACUGACGCUGAGACGCGAAAGCGUGGGGAGCAAACAGG
rnacentral:rRNA from 1 species